rnacentral:rRNA from 1 species
AUAACGUCCGGAAACGGGCGCUAAUACCGCAUACGUCCUGAGGGAGAAAGUGGGGGAUCUUCGGACCUCACGCUAUCAGAUGAGCCUAGGUCGGAUUAGCUAGUUGGUGGGGUAAAGGCCUACCAAGGCGACGAUCCGUAACUGGUCUGAGAGGAUGAUCAGUCACACUGGAACUGAGACACGGUCCAGACUCCUACGGGAGGCAGCAGUGGGGAAUAUCGGACAAUGGGCGAAAGCCUGAUCCAGCCAUGCCGCGUGUGUGAAGAAGGUCUUCGGAUUGUAAAGCACUUUAAGUUGGGAGGAAGGGCAGUAAGUUAAUACCUUGCUGUUUUGACGUUACCAACAGAAUAAGCACCGGCUAACUUCGUGCCAGCAGCCGCGGUAAUACGAAGGGUGCAAGCGUUAAUCGGAAUUACUGGGCGUAAAGCGCGCGUAGGUGGUUCAGCAAGUUGGAUGUGAAAUCCCCGGGCUCAACCUGGGAACUGCAUCCAAAACUACUGAGCUAGAGUACGGUAGAGGGUGGUGGAAUUUCCUGUGUAGCGGUGAAAUGCGUAGAUAUAGGAAGGAACACCAGUGGCGAAGGCGACCACCUGGACUGAUACUGACACUGAGGUGCGAAAGCGUGGGGAGCAAACAGG